rnacentral:rRNA from 1 species
GACGAACGCUGGCGGCGUGCCUAAUACAUGCAAGUCGAGCGGGCCUCCGGAGGUGCUUGCACCUCCGGAAGGCCAGCGGCGGACGGGUGAGUAACACGUGGGCAACCUGCCUUUGAGGCCGGGAUAACACCGGGAUACCGGUGCUAAUACCGGAUACGUCCUCUUUCGCGCCUGCGAGAGGGGAGAAAGACGGUCUUUAAGGCCGUCGCUCAAAGAGGGGCCCGCGGCGCAUUAGCUGGUUGGUGGGGUAAGGGCCUACCAAGGCGACGAUGCGUUGCCGACCUGGGAGGGUGAUCGGCCACACUGGGACUGAGACACGGCCCAGACUCCGGCGGGAGGCAGCAGUAGGGAAUCAUCCGCAAUGGGCGAAAGCCUGACGGUGCAACGCCGCGUGAGUGAGGAAGGUUUUCGGAUCGUAAAGCUCUGUUGUGAGGGAAGAACAGCUUCCGGAGGAAAUGCCGGAGGUUUGCCGGUACCUCACCAGAAAGCCCCGGCUAACUACGUGCCAGCCGCCGCGGUAA